CCUGUCUCUGCCCACGUCUGCCUCUACCUGCCCGUCGCCAGCACACCUGAGGAUCCGAGGCUGCCUAACGGAGUGUGGGGCUGGUUCAGGGUGUUUACCAGACAGCCGGGAUAAGGGGUGGGACUCUGCUUUUCUUUCAGUGAGUCCUGUCGGAGCAGAAGGGGAUGUCCCCCUCAGCCCACCAUGGAUCCCCUCAGACUGGCUCAUCCACACCCUUCACCUCACAGGGCAGAGACCAAGAAGAGGAGGAAUGUGCUCGAGGGACCUCUUGAUUCUGGAGAGCAUCUUUUGUCUCCUGGGAUCAGGAUUGGAACAGGACCUCCUGAGGAAUGUGGAUACCUGAGGCUGUUGACCAUCUCAGCUUUCCUCUACUUAUUCCUCCCAUCGGUGGUCACUGGUUCGGUGGAUUUCCGUUUUCCUUUGUAAGCUUGGAAAAAAACACAUCUGGAUUGCACUGCUGUGCAUCUAAGUCCCGUCUGGAAAGAGAACCUCCUGGAAGCUCAUCCAUCCCUCUCUUGCUUCCUCCCCACCCGCUUCCCUCUCCUUCUCCUUGCCAAGCAGCGUGUUGUGUAGGUGUCAGACAGGCAUGGG
ensembl:lncRNA